rnacentral:tRNA from 1 species
GUUGAUGUAGCUUAACCUAAAGCAAAGCACUGAAAAUGCUUAGAUGGAUCCUAACAAAUCCCAUAAACA